UGGGUUAUGACAUCUURGUAAGCAAAACUGCAUUUCAAAAAAUACUGUAAUGGAAAUUAGCGAUUAAUUUAUUGCUCAGUACUCAAAAUAAAAGUGGGGAUACAGAAUAUAUAUAUAUAAAUGCACUUAAAAGUUCUGACACUUUCUAAAAUCCGAAUAUGUAACCCGAUUGUUUCCAUCAGACCAAAUGCUUCAUCUGCGGCAUCGGGAACGACUACUUUGAUCGGACGCCUCACGGGUUUGAAACUCACACCCUGCAAGAGCACAACCUGGCCAACUACCUGUUCUUCCUGAUGUACCUAAUCAACAAGGAUGAGACUGAACACACGGGUCAGGAGUCGUACGUGUGGAAGAUGUACCAGGAGAGAUGCUGGGACUUCUUCCCUGCAGGAGACUGCUUCCGUAAGCAAUACGAGGACCAGCUGGGUUAGGAGGGGGGGC